GCUUCCUUGGCUCAGUUGGCUAGAGCGCAGGUCUCAUAUUUCUAUGAGCGGUCUUAGACCGUGCAAUCCUGAGGUCGCAAGUUCGAGCCUUGCAGGGAGCA